rnacentral:misc_RNA from 1 species
GGAUCAACCAGGUAGCAUUCCUCACCGACGUCGAUCGGCGUGUCRKAAUCCGUAAGGAAUCCACCACAACCRAUACGAACGUCGUUCGCACGUAGCGUUGAACGCUUUGUUCCGAGGGGCAGAUAGAGRCCGAGGCCUUGUGCCCACAACAUAUUCCGAAUCCGAGAUUUCGAGCAUUACGCCUUGGGUGGGCUACCCGAGUGCGUACGUACACACAAGAGUGCCAACCACGACGCAUUCUAUGAGUUCCAAUCCGCACCACGACACCGACGGGUGACGCAUAACAGAAUGAAAAAGGAGCGAUUUYGCCGUCGUAAUACCUUAUAGAUAGGUAUCGARCACAGGAGGCCACAGACAGACAGGGCUCGGGAGCCCUUGUGCCAAUGAUUGCAAAGGCGCGGUUGGGAUGUCG